rnacentral:rRNA from 1 species
AUUGAACGCUGGCGGCAGGCCUAACACAUGCAAGUCGAACGAGUGGCGGACGGGUGAGUAAUGUCUGGGAAACUGCCCGCUGGAGGGGGAUAACUACUGGAAACGGUAGCUAAUACCGCAUACCAUCGGAUGUGCCCAUGUGGGCUUAGCUAGUAGGUGGGGUAACGGCUCACCUAGGCGACGAUCCCUAGCUGGUCUGAGAGGAUGACCGGCCAAACUGGAACUGAGACACGGGCCAGACUCCUACGGGAGGCAGCAGUGGGGAAUAUUGCACAAUGGGCGAAAGCCUGAUGCAGCCAUGCCGCGUGUAUGAAGAAGGCCUGAGGGUUGUAAAGUACUUGCAGCGAGGAGGCGGUACUCGCAGAAGAAGCACCGGCUAACUCCGUGCCAACAGCCGCGGUAAUAC